UGCCAUACACUGUAUAGGGAUUAGUGAAUGAGUGAAUGAGUGAGCGAUUUCAGACACAGCAUCAUCUCAACGGCUGAAACCGUGCUCCAAAUCAGGGUGGUGUGCUGACUCGAGGUGAGGGGGCACAGUAACCCAGGCGGCCGGGCCAGGGCCCCUGGGGCCCCCUCGUGGCGCCAACCCUGAUCGCUCCACUUAAAGGGCCAUGUCGGAUGUGUUAAUGAGUGUGCUAUUGGAAUUAUUUAGUGAUGGAGAGAAUACUGCACUGUCAGGAGCACAACCAGCUGUUAAAACUGUCCAAGUCUGGAGCGAAGAGGUGAUUUCACCGCUGGAGGACUGCUUUGAGAAUACAGACUGGGAACAGUUAGCACAGAGCACAGACCUGGAGGAAUAUAAUUCAUCUGUUUUGGCAUACAUAGCCUUCUGCACCAAUACUGUGCUUUAGCCACUAAGACCAUCAAGGUGUUCCAGAACCAUAAGCCAUGGUCUGACAGGCA